UCCCUGGCCAUGUGCUUGAAGAGGUGCUUA
rnacentral:piRNA from 1 species